UACGGAGAGUGCAAACGUUGUUCGGAUUCACUGGGCGUAAAGGGCACGUAGGCGGCUCGGCAAAUCGGUCGUGGAAUCUCGACGCUUACCGUCGAAACGGCGGCCGAAAAUACCGGGCUCGAGGGCGUGAGGGGUCACUGGAACUCCUGGUGAAGCGGUGAAAUGCGUAGAUAUCAGGAAGAACACCAAUGGCGAAAGCAGCUCUCUGGGACGGUACUGACGCUGAGACGCGAAAGCGUGGGGAGCGAACAGG
rnacentral:rRNA from 1 species